GACUGUGGCCCCCAUUUGUUACCAAAAUAUCCAUCACCUCGCCAUGUAUUUGCAGGAUAACUUCUGAUCUUCAUCUUCUCUCUCGCUCCAUUGCUUCUUUUUUUUUCGAUUCCAAUUUCCAUAUCUAAUCUCUUUAGUUCCUCAUUUUCAAGUUACUUCUCUUGAGUUGGUGAUUCUUUUAACCAAAUUACUUACUUGAUUUAGGGUUAUGCUUGGUUAAACCAUGAAGUUUGAGACAAAAAAAAAUUAAUUUAUCCAUAUUCAUCUCCACAUGAAGUCGUUGAUGGAUAUAGAACGACAUCAAAGACAAGAGAACAAAAGCGGAUGUACAUGUUGCAAGGAAGUCUCUGACAUGGUGUUUGCAUAUUAUAAUUUCGUACAAUUGUUUAAUCCCAGUGAAGCCAGAAAAUAAAAGGCGAACAAAAACAGUUUGUACCCUCUUUCUGAUGAUAAUUUUCAAUAUAAUUGUUGCAGCGUGUUAUUGUAAAAUUACAAUUUAAUCUGGAAAGUUAGUGAAUGGAGAGUUCGUCUUCAGUUUGUACCCUCUUUCUGAUGAUAAUUUUCAAUAUUAUUGGUGCA